rnacentral:rRNA from 1 species
UACGUAGGGGGCAAGCGUUGUCCGGAUUUAUUGGGCGUAAAGAGCGUGUAGGCGGCCACACAGGUCUGCUGUGAAAACUCGAGGCUCAACCUCGAGCUGUCGGUGGAAACCGUGUGGCUAGAGUCCGGAAGAGGAGAGUGGAAUUCCCGGUGUAGCGGUGAAAUGCGCAGAUAUCGGGAGGAACACCAAUUGCGAAGGCAGCUCGCUGGGACGUCACUGACGCUGAGACGCGAAAGCGUGGGGAGCAAACAGG